GGGCGUGGCUUGGCCGGCUCGGCGGAGAGCGUUGGAGCCGUUGCGAACGAUGAGGGAGCGUUCUCAGCGGUCUGGCGGCCCUACCCGUUCCGUCUUCCCUCCCCCGGGGGAGCGGCGGGGUGGAGGCGGCCGGGAACCUUACCCUCGGCGGCCAUGGCUUGCUGAGGCGGUGGAGCGCGAGGCCUUCCUCGAGCGGAACCCAAGUGGUGUCAGCAGCCCGUCCCUGGCGCCUGUGCAGCUUACGCUGAGCUCUGAGAAGACCGAUCGUCGUGGGGGCUGCCAUCUGAAUUCUCCGUCUCUCCUUCGGAGAUGGCCUGCAUUGGCGUGUUGUACAGCCGACAGCGCACGCUGUACCGGCUGCUGCUGGCUGCCGGCGGCGCCCGUGAGCGCCCCACUCUCGAAGAUGCUGACAUGGGAAAGCUCUUGGAGGAGAAUCCUUCUGCAUUGACCCUAGGGGAGCAGGGGGAAAGUGGGGACAAUGCGUCAGGGCUCGCUGCAGGGGAAGACUCCUCCAGGCUUUGGGGGGCUUCUGCUGUCAGCUCUCCAGGAGACUUGGGCAAAAUAGGACUUUUCAGAAUUUCCGUAGCAGACAUCCUGUAGCUGGAAUCGGAUCGGCUGCCCUUUUUAAGGAGCAGUAGUUUGAACUCCUCAUUGGAUGUGUUUGACUUCUUGGCAUUCCUGUAUAUGAGCCCAGGGGACCUCUGGCUGCUAAUGGGAGUGCCCACGCUGCUGGCCGGUUGCACAUUGCUGGUGGGCAGCAUGCUGCUGGCAGGGGGCUGGCUGCUAGUUCCAGACGAAGCUCUCAACCUGUUUCUUACAGAAAGGUCUCCAGAAUCCUUUCUCCCGAGAACUUUCCUUUUUGAUCUGUAAAAGCACAAAGGAACACUCUUUCAUACAUUAUCGUUGUAGAAUAACACUUAAAGCUGUUCUGGAGUUUCACAGAUUGACUGUGCUUUCAUAUUAGCUAGAGCUCUCAUAAUCCCUCUGUCAAAUAUCAGAGGCUAGCAGUGACUGAUGGCACUUUGAGCUGUGAUAGCUCUUAUGCAUUGAAUGAGGCACUGAGCCAGAGUCUCUUUUAGGUUCUAAUAAUACUCAGUGUAACCAAUUCAAUAUCAGACAUCUGUAAUUUCAGUUGUGAUCACAAAUUUCAGAUGAAUAUAUAAUACUCUAAAAUUGAAGAGGUGCCUUCUCAUCAUUCUUGCUGCAAUGACUCACUCACUUGGUACAGAGCUAGUGGGCAAAAGGCAGGAACCACUGUGGGUAGUUUUCUUUGGAGACAUAUGUUUGUUAGAGAGAAUGGCCUGAUGUUGUUACCUGUAAAGCAUCCUACACGUGCCGUGAAGAUACUCAGAGUGCGUAUCAGACCAUAAUAAAGCAUUUUUUAAAAGCUGCCUUUUAGAAAAUGAAUAAACUAAAAAAGGUUCUUUCA